UCCCUCGUGAGAGGGCAGUCUCGCCUGGAAUAUUUAACAGACAACGGGGGUUGCGUUCGUUACCCCACUGAAGGGAACAGUUCAAACCACGAACUGACGACGACCAUGCAUCACCUGUGCUACACCCUCGAAGGCUCCCGUCCUUUCGGUCGGGAUGCAGUAGCAUUUCUAAUCUUGGUAAGGUUCUUCGCUUGCCGACGAAUUAAGCCGCAUAAUCCACUGCUUGUGCGAGUCCCCGUCUAUUCCUUUGAGUUUUAAUCUUGCGAUCGUACUACCCAGGCGGCUCGCUUACCGCGUUAGCUUAGCCCCAGAGAGGGUCGAUACUCCCUAGAGCGAGCGAGCAACGUUUAGGGCCAGGACUAC
rnacentral:misc_RNA from 1 species